AAAUCAUAUAUUUCAUAUAAUUAAUCUUAAAAAUUAAACUGCAAAUUUAAAUAGGAUUACUAUAAUCUAAGAUUUA
rnacentral:tRNA from 1 species